rnacentral:misc_RNA from 1 species
GAAAUGCGAUAAGUAAUGUGAAUUGCAGAAUUCAGUGAAUCAUCGAAUCUUUGAACGCAUCUUGCGCUCCUUGGUAUUCCUUGGAGCAUGCCUGUUUGAGUAUCAUGAAAUCUUCAAAGUAAAUCUUUUGUUAACUCAAUUGGUUUCUACUUUGGUAUUGGAGGUCUUUGCAGCUUCACACCUGCUCCUCUUUGUUCAUUAGCUGGAUCUCAGUGUUAUGCUUGGUUCCACUCGGCGUGAUAAGUUAUCUAUCGCUGAGGACACUGUAAAAGGUGGCCAAGGUAAAUGCAGAUGAACCGCUUCUAAUAAUCCAUUGACUUGGACAAUACUUAUAUGAUCUGAUCUCAAAUCAGGUAGGACUACCCGCUGAACUUAAGC